GACGAACGCUGGCGGCGUGCCUAAUACAUGCAAGUAGAACGCUGAAGGAGGAGCUUGCUUCUCUGGAUGAGUUGCGAACGGGUGAGUAACGCGUAGGUAACCUGCCUGGUAGCGGGGGAUAACUAUUGGAAACGAUAGCUAAUACCGCAUAAUAGUAGAUGUUGCAUGACAUUUGCUUAAAAGAUGCAAUUGCAUCACUACCAGAUGGACCUGCGUUGUAUUAGCUAGUUGGUGGGGUAACGGCUCACCAAGGCGACGAUACAUAGCCGACCUGAGAGGGUGAUCGGCCACACUGGGACUGAGACACGGCCCAGACUCCUACGGGAGGCAGCAGUAGGGAAUCUUCGGCAAUGGACGAAAGUCUGACCGAGCAACGCCGCGUGGAGGACGACGGCC
rnacentral:rRNA from 1 species